rnacentral:rRNA from 1 species
UACGGAGGGUGCAAGCGUUAUCUGGAUUCACUGGGUUUAAAGGGUGCGUAGGUGGACAAGUAAGUCAGUGGUGAAAUCUCCGGGCUUAACCCGGAAACUGCCAUUGAUACUAUUUGUCUUGAAUACUGUGGAGGUCAGCGGAAUAUGUCAUGUAGCGGUGAAAUGCUUAGAUAUGACAUAGAACACCAAUUGCGAAGGCAGCUGGCUACACAAAUAUUGACACUGAGGCACGAAAGCGUGGGGAGCAAACAGGA